CUAACAUCAAGUAAUUAAUAACUCCUUUAUUCAUUUUCUUUGACGGGAAGGGUUUGAAACGGUUCAUCAAUGAUGUCGUCGGUGAAUGGAAAUCGAAGCUGCAUCGGCGAUGGCCCAAGUGCAUGGGGCAGAAACAGGGGACUAACUUAUGUGCAUACUAAGUUUACGAGAACAUUCGCAUGACGACUAAAUGACGCAGAGAUGUAAGACAACUUCAGAUGGAAGAGAUGCGGGAGAAGCUCCUACCAGAGAACCGCAUACGAGCAAUUCAAGAGGAAAUUAUGGGAUUUUUGCUUAUGGAAGUCAUAUCUGAAAGCGGAGAAUACCAUUGCCGCUAAUGCCUGCAUGUAAUGAUCUUGAAAUUAUAGGAGAAAUGAUAUAUACCAAACUAUAUAUAUAAUCACAUAAACUCAUAAUACCAAUCGUG